CAAUGUUCAGUAAGAUGUUGACUGAUUUGUUGUUUGUGGCUGAAGGUGAUCUGACGUCUCUCAGUGUUUGACCAGCUCAUGCUUUCAUCUCAUUCAUCAGAACAGACAAAGAUCCGUGCAUCAGUUUCUGUCUGGAUCAGAGAAUCCAAGUCGUCGAUUCGUCAUUCGUCAUCGUAAGACGAGUCAGAUGUGAAAUUGUGAUAAUGUCCUUGUGGAUCUCUUCUGUGUUUGUUGCCAUCAGUGUUCGAGUCAUCAUCUUGCUGCUGCUCUUGUUUUUCUCAUUACUAGUGUCUCUGAUGAAAUAUGUGUGAACAUUUUCUGUGGACUCUGAGAAAAGCUAUUUAAUUUGUUUUCUGUGAAGAGCCUAACAAAGUAUUUGGACCUUGAGAGAUGAUGACGCUGGAAACACAUUCAGAAGAGGAGAUUCACAUACAUGUGUGUUUGUCAUCACUGUCCACACAAACUCUCGAUGCCCAUAAUAGAGAAAGAUUAGAUGGUGUUCAGCCAUCAGGAGAGAUGCUGUCUAACAUCCUGAAAAACCCUUCAGUAAUCAGUAAAACAUGGGGUUUGAGAAAUGAAUGAAUAAAUGUGCAUUAAAAACACGAGUUAAAAUGUACAUUGAAAAUGAAUACAUUUAAUUUAAAUAAAUACA